GAGGAAAAGAAACUAACAAGGAUUCCCCUAGUAACGGCGAGUGAACCGGGAUGAGCUCAAAUUUGAAAUCUGGCGUCCUCAGGGCGUCCGAGUUGUAAUCUAUAGAGGCGUUUUCCGUGCCGGACCGUGUCCAAGUCCCUUGGAACAGGGUAUCAAAGAGGGUGACAAUCCCGUACUUGACACGACGACCGGUGCUCUGUGAUACGUCUUCUACGAGUCGAGUUGUUUGGGAAUGCAGCUCAAAAUGGGUGGUGAGUUCCAUCUAAAGCUAAAUAUUGGCGAGAGACCGAUAGCGAACAAGUACCGUGAGGGAAAGAUGAAAAGCACUUUGGAAAGAGAGUUAAACAGUACGUGAAAUUGUUGAAAGGGAAACGAUUGAAGUCAGUCGUGACUGUUGGGCUCAGCAGGUUCUGCCUGUGUAUUCCCCUCAGUCGGGUCAACAUCAGUUUUGACCGGUGGAUAAGGGCAGCAGGAAUGUGGCACCUCCGGGUGUGUUAUAGCCUGUCGUCGCAUACAUCGGUCGAGACUGAGGAACGCAGCUCGCCCUUGAGGCCGGGGUUCGCCCACGUCCGAGCUUAGGAUGUUGACAUAAUGGCUUUAAACGACCCGUC
rnacentral:rRNA from 1 species